AGCAUAUCAAUAAGCGGAGGAAAAGAAACCAACCGGGAUUGCCUUAGUAACGGCGAGUGAAGCGGCAAAAGCUCAAAUUUGAAAUCUGGUACCUUUGGUGCCCGAGUUGUAAUUUGGAGAGGGCAACUUUGGGACCGUUCCUUGUCUAUGUUCCUUGGAACAGGACGUCAUAGAGGGUGAGAAUCCCGUGUGGCGAGGAGUGCGGUUCUAUGUAAAGUGCCUUCGAAGAGUCGAGUUGUUUGGGAAUGCAGCUCUAAGUGGGUGGUAAAUUCCAUCUAAAGCUAAAUAUUGGCGAGAGACCGAUAGCGAACAAGUACAGUGAUGGAAAGAUGAAAAGAACUUUGAAAAGAGAGUGAAAAAGUACGUGAAAUUGUUGAAAGGGAAGGGCAUUUGAUCAGACAUGGUGUUUUGCGCCCUCUGCUCCUUGUGGGUGGGGGAAUCUCGCAGUUCACUGGGCCAGCAUCAGUUUUGGUGGCAGGAUAAAUCCGUAGGAAUGUAACUUGCUUCGGGAAGUAUUAUAGCCUAUGGGAAUACUGCCAGCUGGGACUGAGGACUGCGACGUAAGUCAAGGAUGCUGGCAUAAUGGUUAUAUGCCG
rnacentral:rRNA from 1 species